rnacentral:rRNA from 1 species
UACGAGGGGGGCAAGCGUUGUCCGGAAUUAUUGGGCGUAAAGCGCGCGCAGGCGGUCAUUUAAGUCUUAUGUUUAAACCCAAGGCUCAACCUUGGGACGCAUGGGAAACUGGGUGGCUUGAGUGUAGGAGAGGAAAGUGGAAUUCCACGUGUAGCGGUGAAAUGCGUAGAGAUGUGGAGGAACACCAGUGGCGAAGGCGACUUUCUGGCCUAUAACUGACGCUGAGGCGCGAAAGCGUGGGGAGCAAACAGG